rnacentral:lncRNA from 1 species
CUUGGAAUGUGGCCACUACAUCAAGAAAUUAAGACACUAUGCUGCAGGAAUUUGGCCAGUCCAAUAGCCACCCCCACUAAUCAAACAUGGUUAGUGAAACUCCAUAUCAAGUAUUUACAUUUCCUCAGGAAAAAAAAAAAAAAUUAUGUCUACUAA